AAUUUCAUGUCUCAGAGAAUUUAGGAAAAUGUAUUUAUUUAGUCCAAUGUCUUGAUUCCCACCAUUCGAGUAAUUUCUCACCAGAGGCUGCAAAGGUAGUGAUAACUGAUUCCUAAUUUCAAUAAAUUAUUGGGUUGGUACUGAGGAGAUUUCCCAGACACAUUUAAACACAAUCCAGUGAACAAGUUUGUGGCAACAUAACAUAAGACCUACCAUAUGAAAUUUAAUACCUUUGAAAGACUUUUU